rnacentral:lncRNA from 1 species
GAAACAGCAAACAACCUCUGCCCCAAUACAUGUAGAACAGUGUUUGCCAAUCAGAGAUAUUAAUUUUAAGAAUUUGAAAAAUUAUGUACGAUUCCUUGUACAUGUAUAUACAUGCUAGAAGCUUAUUAUUGCUCUUGCAUAUAUGAAGGAAACGUCACAAGAUGGUUUGAUAUGAAAUAAAAAAUAAAAAGUAAAAUCCUCCCACCCGCCCCAUUUGUUUCAAAAAUUUGGAUGAAAAUCUACUAAUUAAAUUUAGUUGGCCUAAUUC